UACGAAGGGGGCUAGCGUUGUUCGGAAUUACUGGGCGUAAAGCGCGCGUAGGCGGUUUAGUAAGUUGGAUGUGAAAUCCCUAGGCUCAACCUAGGAAUUGCAUUCAAGACUGCUGAGCUAGAUGCCUGGAGAGGAGAGUGGAAUUCCCAGUGUAGAGGUGAAAUUCGUAGAUAUUGGGAAGAACACCAGUGGCGAAGGCGGCUCUCUGGCCAGGUUAUGGCGCUGAGGCGCGAAAGUGUGGGGAGCAAACAGG
rnacentral:rRNA from 1 species